UGAAUGUGGAACUGGAGAGAUGUCUC
rnacentral:piRNA from 1 species